rnacentral:rRNA from 1 species
UGCGCAGGCGGAUUGUUAAGCAAGACGUGAAAUCCCCGGGCUUAACCUGGGAAUGGCGUUUUGAACUGGCAGUCUAGAGUGCGUCAGAGGGGGUGGAAUUCCACGUGUAGCAGUGAAAUGCGUAGAGAUGUGGAGGAACACCGAUGGCGAAGGCAGCCCCCUCGGGAUGACACUGACGCUCAUGUACGAAAGCGUGGGUAGCAAACAG